rnacentral:rRNA from 1 species
AUGCUUGCAUCCCACACUCGUUCCCAGACCACAAACGUCAGGAUCGCCCUCGCCAAUCUACAGAAGGGCAACUCAUCCAUCACCGACUACGUCGGGAAGAUCAAGUCCCUCUGCGACGAAUUGAUCGCUGCGGGGAAGAAGGUGGACGACGACGACAUCGUCUCCCACAUACUGGCCGGGCUCGAUGAAGAUUUCGAUCCGGUGGUUUCUGCCAUGUGUUCCCGGGUGGAGCCGGUGACCGUGGCAGAACUGUUCUCACAACUGCUGAGCUUUGAAACAAGGCUCAAUCUUCGGGGCGGAGGGUCUCAAUCCUCUGCCAACGCAGCCACCCGAGGUCGUCGAAACGGCGCUGGCGGUGGUGACCGCGGUCGCCGCCAAGGUGGCAAUGGUGGUGACCGCGGCGGGCGCGGCGGCGGCUACUCCAAAUCUGGAGGGCGUGGUAGCGGACACGGCAACAACAACAGCAGCGGGGGCAACUACAACAACAACCAUGCCUCUGCUCCGAGGGUCCAGUGCCAGAUAUGUGGCAAGAUGGGCCACCCAGCCUAG